rnacentral:lncRNA from 1 species
AGCUUUCUAAGGAGGCGGAACUGGACAGAGCUCCUGGACCAGGCAAAUAGGAGCAAAGUUUUCGAGGCAUUUAUGGAGACGCCCCAGCCACAGAGCCCACAGACGAUCAGAGACACUGGACUCACACCACGGAGGGUCAGAACUCUUCUGCUGUGAAUCCUACCCAAAGAACAGAAGAGGAAGGGAAAACCUGAAGGUGCUGUGGGUCUCCCGGAGCUAAUUUUUUCCGGACUUGAGAUGCCUCAGCGUGGGCCUAGAGAACGGCUUCGUGGCUAAGAAGAGUAUGCACUGCUCUUCUAGGGGACUUGAGGUUUAUUUCCAGCAACAACAUCAAGCUUCUCCCUGCUGUUUGUAACUCCUUUCUGAAUCCUCUCAACUCACAGAUACAUGUACAAACCCGCACAGGUCAUGAACACUAUUAAAAUUAAACAUAC